UUUUCCUCCGCGGUUGUUCUCGCGGGGCGUCCCCGGCGCGAGGCUCGCGCGUCGCAGCAGUGCGGGGAUUAGCCCAGGUGCGCCCCCCAGCAGCGUGGAGCGAGGAUUCCCCGACUCUAGGGACCGCUGCUCUUCUCCCACCUGCUGCCAGGUGUCACACGAGGGCUUUCUGUGUUCGUGGUUCACGUCUGGGAGGCGGACCCGCGGUGCCACUGAACAAGCUGAGGCCACUGCCUGGGGACUAACUCACCGCUACACGACGUCAGUAACCCCCUGCGAGGCUGCUGCCCACAGACCUCCUUCUCUCUCAGUGCUGUGGAACGGCCCACCAUGGCCAAGUUAGGGUACAGGGCCACUGUAGCCGAGGUUCCUGAGUCUGACGACCCACAUUCACAGGGACAAGCCCAGCCCUAACCAGCUUUCUUAGAAAUAGUUUGUGGGGGGGUUUUUUGUUUUGUUUUGAGGUUUGAUUAAAUCAAGUAAAAUGGAUAGAUCUUCAGUGUAGAGCUUAGAGAGUUUUUAUGGGUUAUGGUCACCACAACCCUGGUGCAGAUACACACGUGAUUGGAGUUGAGUAUGUUGAGUCAGCAAAUUCCUCUCCGCGCCUGGACGGGGUGGGGGAUGGGAGUCGGGGCAGUACCUAAGGCGGAGGUUCUCAAAUGUUAUCAGCAUCAGAAUCACCUGGAGGGCUUGUUAAAACUCAGAUUGCUGGGCUUCACCCCAGAGCUUCUGAUUCAGUAGGUGUGGGGGUGGGCUGAGAAGUUGCAGUUCUGACAAGUUCCCAGGUGAUGCCGAUGAUGCUUUCCUUCGGGGCCACACUUCGAGAACUCCUGGGCUCGGGAACUGCCAGUAAAAGUUAAGCUGCCUGGUAUUUAUAACCAUACAAAGAAGGAAAGGCCGUUAGCAGAACAUCUUUAAAAUGUGUCAGCCAGGUUUUUGAUGGAUGGUCUGUGGGGGCUGACCUUCUCUUGCCUGCCCCAGAGCUCUUUGGUGAUCCUGUCCGCUUCUAGCAAAGGGGUCCACAAAGUUUCAAGCAUGGAUUGGGUCAGUACAAACUCAACGAGCUCAAAAGGAUCCAUAUGCUUUUAAAAACUAGAAAACCCAUUUUACCUUUUUAGAGUCAGAGGACUGGUAUUUGUAAAUUGUUUCGAGAUCCUCAGAAGUCUGCACCUAUUGCUAGGGCAUUUUAAACAUUUUUAAAAGGAGGACUAAUAAGUAUAUACUUGGCUUUUGUUCUCGGUUUCUGACACACACCUCCUAAAACCCUUAGAAUCUCUAAAGAAUGGGACAAACGAAAUGCACUAAUACGCCGGGGCUAGAAGGGGUGGGGGAACAGGCAUGGCCAUGCUGAGUGAAGACCGGAUAGGAAAGCUGUUUCACAUUCUGGGUGUUUUCUCCUUUUUGUUAGGACUCGUGCCCUACUUCAUCCCGUCUGUCUCUAGAGGCUAUCUUUCUCUACUUCGCAUUGUUCUUCAGAAGAAACACAGGAAACACAGGAAGACAUACCCUAAGACAGCUGAUUUCCCUUCACAGCUCCAGAAGUACUAGGCGCUUAGAACAUUUUUAAAGCCUAGGAAUCGGACUAACCCAGAAAAUAAGGAGCAUUGAUGAGGUCACUCAUGGAUACAGUAAACACUCAACAGGAAGUUAUUUACUCUACCUCAGAUUAAAAAUUUGAAAUCUUACUUGCCAGUUAAAUAAAUUUCACCCUGGCACUCAUCUGCUCCGGAACCCAUUCUCUUUUGACUGCUUGUAUUUCUAGGGUGAGCAACAUCUGGGCCUUGUGGGGGCCCUUUCCUUCUUCCUCUUCUUCUCUCUACUGCUGAGCCGGCUGCCUCCCACCGGUCACCAUCACCCAGAGGGAUUUCAGGUCAGGCUAGCCCUCUCCCAGCAUUUAAAUAAUUUA